AUUGGACGCUGGCGGCAUGCCUUACACAUGCAAGUCGAACGGCAGCACGGGUGCUUGCACCUGGUGGCGAGUGGCGAACGGGUGAGUAAUACAUCGGAACAUGUCCUGUAGUGGGGGAUAGCCCGGCGAAAGCCGGAUUAAUACCGCAUACGAUCUACGGAUGAAAGCGGGGGACCUUCGGGCCUCGCGCUAUAGGGUUGGCCGAUGGCUGAUUAGCUAGUUGGUGGGGUAAAGGCCUACCAAGGCGACGAUCAGUAGCUGGUCUGAGAGGACGACCAGCCACACUGGGACUGAGACACGGCCCAGACUCCUACGGGAGGCAGCAGUGGGGAAUUUUGGACAAUGGGCGAAAGCCUGAUCCAGCAAUGCCGCGUGUGUGAAGAAGGCCUUCGGGUUGUAAAGCACUUUUGUCCGGAAAGAAAUCCUUGGCCCUAAUACGGUCGGGGGAUGACGGUACCGGAAGAAUAAGCACCGGCUAACUACGU
rnacentral:rRNA from 1 species